UUCCAGACUCCUACGGGAGGCAGCAGUGGGGGAUAUUGCACAAUGGGGGGAACCCUGAUGCAGCGACGCCGCGUGGGUGAAGAAGCGCCUCGGCGCGUAAAGCCCUGUCAGCAGGGAAGAAAAUGACGGUACCCGACGAAGAAGCACCGGCUAAAUACGUGCCAGCAGCCGCGGUAAUACGUAUGGUGCGAGCGUUGUCCGGAUUUACUGGGCGUGAAGGGGGCGCAGGCGGCGCGCCAAGCCCGAUGUGAAAGCCCGGGGCUCAACCCCGGGACUGCAUUGGGAACUGGCGUGCUGGAGUGCCGGAGGGGCAGGCGGAAUUCCUGGUGUAGCGGUGAAAUGCGUAGAUAUCAGGAGGAACACCGGUGGCGAAGGCGGCCUGCUGGACGACAACUGACGGUGAGGCGCGAAAGCGUGGGGAGCAAACAGGAUUAGAUACCCUAGUA
rnacentral:rRNA from 1 species